rnacentral:rRNA from 1 species
AACGAACGCUGGCGGCGUGCUUAACACAUGCAAGUCGAACGCGUAAAUUUUUCUUCGGAAAGAGAGUUGAGUGGCGCACGGGUGAGUAACGCGUAAGUAAUCUACCCUGGUAUCUGGGAUAACCCACCGAAAGGUGUGCUAAUUACCGGAUACGCUGAGUAAUCAGGAAAGGUGGCCUCUUCAUGAAAGCUACUGUACCAGGAGGAGCUUGCGUACCAUUAGCUAGUUGGUAGGGUAAUGGCCUACCAAGGCAACGAUGGUUAGCGGGUCUGAGAGGAUGAUCCGCCACACUGGAACUGGAACAC